rnacentral:rRNA from 1 species
GACGGAGGGGGCUAGCGUUGUUCGGAAUUACUGGGCGUAAAGGGCGCGUAGGCGGAUUAGUAAGUUUGGGAGUGAAAGCCCGGGGCUUAACCUCGGAACUGCUUUCAAAACUGCUAGUCUAGAGUGAAGUAGGGGGUGAUGGAAUUCCUAGUGUAGAGGUGAAAUUCUUAGAUAUUAGGAGGAACACCGGUGGCGAAGGCGGUCACCUGGACUUCAACUGACGCUGAGGCGCGAAAGCGUGGGGAGCAAACAGG